UCGAGAAUCAUUCGCAAUGGGCGAAAGCCUGACGGUGCGACGCCGCGUGGAGGAUGAAGGCCCUAGGGUCGUAAACUCCUGUCAUCAGGGAGUAAUGGCUCAUAUAGUAACUGAUAUGGGUCUUGAUAGUACCUGAAGAGGAAGGGACGGCAAACUUCGUGCCAGCAGCCGCGGUAAUACGAAGGUCCCAAGCGUUGUUCGGAUUUACUGGGCGUAAAGAGUCUGUAGGCGGUGGGGUAAGUCAGAUGUGAAAUCCCGGGGCUCAACCCCGGAACUGCAUCCGAUACUGCCUUACUUGAGGGUCGGAGGGGAGUCUGGAAUUCUCGGUGUAGCAGUGAAAUGCGUAGAUAUCGAGAGGAACACUAGUGGCGAAGGCGAGACUCUGGACGACAACUGACGCUGAGAGACGAAGGCCAGGGGAGCGAAAAGGAUUAGAUACCCCCGUAGUCCCUGAGCGGGCUGGCAAGGCGCAU
rnacentral:rRNA from 1 species